GCGAGUCUGGCCGAGUGGUUAAGGCGUUGUGUUUAGGACAUGCCUACAAUGGCAUACGCUUGAACCGCAAUGGGCAUUGCCCGCGUAGGUUCGAUCCCUACGGCUCGCA
rfam:Metarhizium acridum CQMa 102 unplaced genomic scaffold Scf_001, whole genome shotgun sequence.